rnacentral:rRNA from 1 species
AUUGAACGCUGGCGGCAGGCCUAACACAUGCAAGUCGAACGAGUGGCGGAAGGGUGAGUAAUGUCUGGGAAACUGCCUGAUGGAGGGGGAUAACUAAUGGAAACGGUAGCUAAUACAGCAUACCAUCAGAUGUGCCCAGAGGGGAUUAGCUCGUUGGUGGGGGAACGGCUCACCAAGGCGACGAUCCCUCGCUGGUCUGAGAGGAUGACCAUCCACACUGUAACUGUGACACGGUCCAGACUCCUACGGGAGGCAGCAGUGGGGAAGAUUGCACAAUGGGCGAAAGCCUGAUGCAGCCAUGCCGCGUGUAUGAAGAAGGCCUUCGGGUUGUAAAGUACUUUCAUCGGGGAGGCGUUACCCGCAGAAGAAGCACCGGCUAACUCCGUGCCAGCCGCCGCGGUAAUUC